rnacentral:rRNA from 1 species
UACAGAGGUCUCAAGCGUUGUUCGGAUUUAUUGGGCGUAAAGGGUGCGUAGGUGGUACCGAAAGUUAGGUGUGAAAGUUCGAGGCUCAACCUCGAAAUUGCACCUAAUACUCCGGUGCUCGAGUCUCAUAGAGGAAUCUGGAAUUCACGGUGUAGCAGUGAAAUGCGUAGAUAUCGUGAAAGAAGGCCUGUGGCGAAAGCAAGAUUCUGGGUGACGACUGACACUGAGGCACGAAAGCCAGGGGAGCAAACGGG